rnacentral:snRNA from 1 species
GCGCUUGCUUCAGCAGCACAUAUACUAAAAUGGGAAUGAUACAGAGAAGAUCAGCAUGGCCUCUGUGUAAGGAUGAUGCACAAAUUCGUGAAGCCUUUUAUAUUUAA